rnacentral:rRNA from 1 species
AUUGAACGCUGGCGGCAUGCCUUACACAUGCAAGUCGAACGGCAGCACGGGAGCAAUCCUGGUGGCGAGUGGCGAACGGGUGAGUAAUGCAUCGGAACGUGCCCAGUCGUGGGGGAUAACGUAGCGAAAGUUACGCUAAUACCGCAUACGAUCUGUGGAUGAAAGCGGGGGACCGUAAGGCCUCGCGCGAUUGGAGCGGCCGAUGUCAGAUUAGGUAGUUGGUGGGGUAAAGGCCCACCAAGCCGACGAUCUGUAGCUGGUCUGAGAGGACGACCAGCCACACUGGGACUGAGACACGGCCCAGACUCCUACGGGAGGCAGCAGUGGGGAAUUUUGGACAAUGGGCGCAAGCCUGAUCCAGCAAUGCCGCGUGCAGGAUGAAGGCCUUCGGGUUGUAAACUGCUUUUGUACGGAACGAAACGGUGCCCUCUAAUACAGGGUGCUAAUGACGGUACCGUAAGAAUAAGCACCGGCUAACUACGUGCCAGCCGCCGCGGUAAUAC